UGGUGGCAUUCAAAGGACAACAUGUCUACCUGAUACAAUCUUCCUAAAGUAAAAUUUCCAUUUCCUGCUUGUGGUAUCUUUAGGAAGUUCUGCAAGUCUCAAAUGAGAAAACAUCCAU
rnacentral:snoRNA from 2 species